CCGAAGUGGGAAACAAUAACCAUUCGAUCAGGCCAUGGUCGGUCAAAGUUUGGAGCUUGGAGGGUCUAUGCAGCACCAGAUGUGGGACGGACACUGCCAGGUGGGUCUUUGGUCAGGGACAUGGAAACAUCAUUUGAGGUAUUGUCUGUAAAUGGUCAAUUGAAGUCCAAGCAACCAGUUAAGCAGGGAAAAGAUGAUGAGAAUAUCAUAGUAGUUGAAGAGAAAUCUUUUAUUGAGGAUAAUGGAACGAAAGAUGUAGUUUUGGCGAGAGCAUACCCUCGGAGUGGUAGGACGCAUCAAAUCCGCUUGCAUUGCCAGUAUCUUGGGAUUCCCAUAAGAGGUGAUGUGAAGUAUGAGGGUGUGUAUGAGGGGGAAGGGCAAAUAUAUGACUACCACACUCUUCAUGCGGAGAGCUUGUCCUUUGAGCACCCAGUAACCGGUGUGCCCCUGAUGUUUCGGGCACCUCUACCUGCGUGGGUUGCUGAGUGCUGCCCUAAUGAGAUCCCACCUGCUUUUUCUUCAAAUGAAAGUCAUGUUAGAUGAUUUCUUAACAAGAGAAAAACGAUUAUUUUUUUUAAUUGCACCUGCAAUGGUAUGUUAGCCAAAGCAAAGAAUUAAGCAACUUGAUUA
rnacentral:lncRNA from 1 species